rnacentral:lncRNA from 1 species
CUCCUCCUUCCAAACUAAACUGCACCAAGGCCUUCUGCCCUGUUAGGGGCUGGGAAGGCCAAAAAGGAACAUGCCUGUUUUCUCCUUCUGAGUUUGGAACUGACUGAGAAAUAAGACCAAGAGACAGACCACUGGAGAUCUAAAUAUCAGCUUUAUUUAUUGAUAAAGCUGACCUGAACAGUGUGGCUUGACCUGCAGCCAAAUGGGUUCCUGAAAUGUCCCUUCUGAUCUUUGCUUACCCUGCAAAGCCGGCGUGGCCACACUCACCACAUGGCAGACCAGAAUGCAACUGUCCUGUGGACAGGCUGACUCUAAAAGGACACACAGAGAGAAAAAGCAGGGGCAGAUUCAUCAGAUGGUUUGCAGGUGGCAGUGGCCGAGGUUUAGUCUCACACAACACAACAAAUGAGAAAGGAGUCUUUAAAAAGAGAAGAAAUCUUACAGUAAAUCAUUCUUUGUUGAUUUGAGUUCCACAAUCUCUGCCAGAAACUCUGGAACUUGAGUACUACCAGAAAGAAACAAAAUGUGGAUAGACCUUGACAAACUGGAGCAGGUUCUGAGGAUCUGACCAUGUUGGUGUGAGUCUGAAGAUGCCAUCACGGGGAGAAUAGGGGGAAAGGAUCACCAUGACUGAAGGAAGCAACAUGUACUUUGAGCAUAAGAAAAAAAAAACGAGAAAAGGCUGGAAUUUAAAAGGAGGAUGGAAUAAGAAUGGGUGAGCUUCCUAGGGGUUUACAUAAUUAAAUGUGUAAGAAGUGGCCCCAGAACACAAGUUACAGUUGCCCUGAAUAAGGACUUUGCCCUACUCAUUUUUGUCUCUCAAGCAAAUAACACUGUGCUUGAU